UGAACCAAUCUACCCACAAGUGAC
rnacentral:siRNA from 1 species